rnacentral:rRNA from 1 species
GACGAACGCUGGCGGCGUGCUUAACACAUGCAAGUCGAACGGAAAGGCCCUGCUUGCAGGGUAUUCGAGUGGCGAACGGGUGAGUAACACGUGGGUGAUCUGCCCUGCACUUCGGGAUAAGCCUGGGAAACUGGGUCUAAUACCGGAUAGGAGCCAUUUUUAGUGUGAUGGUUGGAAAGUUUUUUCGGUGUAGGAUGAGCUCGCGGCCUAUCAGCUUGUUGGUGGGGUAAUGGCCUACCAAGGCGGCGACGGGUAGCCGGCCUGAGAGGGUGGACGGCCACAUUGGGACUGAGAUGCGGCCCAGACUCCUACGGGAGGCAGCAGUGGGGAAUAUUGCACAAUGGGCGCAAGCCUGAUGCAGCGACGCCGCGUGGGGGAUGACGGCCUUCGGGUUGUAAACUCCUUUCGCUAGGGACGAAGCUUUUUGUGACGGUACCUAGAUAAGAAGCACCGGCUAACUACGUG